GACACGGCUCAUCCAGCUACACCAGACCUGCGGGUAGGACUCUGUGUGCAUAUUGCAGCAAUUUGAGGAACUGGUAGCCCCUGUGACAGAGCCCUACAGAGAUGUGGCAAAAAAAGGUGUCUCUGCCCUGAGCCAUUUCAAAUGACUCUGCAAGUCAGGGCCACUGAGGAGUCAAAUAUGCUGCACAGCAGUUGAAGAUGGUGUUGGUCCAUACCCAGCAGGGAGAAUCUCGGUGUCCUGCAGCCACUACAAGAUGUCCAUCUCCAUGUGGCUGCAGGACAAAGGGCCAUUCAUCACGCUCCAAAGUGCUGCAAAAGGCUCCCGUGUUCCACCGGAGAAGUGCCUGCAUUUGAAUCCAAGCGAGAAAGUUUUCUCUCCCGGUGCUCCAGGCCGCUCCGGAGAGUAAUGGAGCUUGGCGCUGCUUUAGGAUCCUUUUGGGUGAGAUAUGGGGGCGAGCACCUUGUCAUGCGCCGCUCAGGCUCCAGCAAAUCUGGGACAGAGAGGGGGUUGGAGAUAACCUUCAGGGAAGGCAGAGGGCAGGAUUGCACUGACCCCAAAGGAUGCUGGAUGUGGUCCCUGAAGCCGUGGCUGCUGCGAUGCCUCGUUGCUGCGGGGAGCAGAGCUGCUGCAGAAGGAAAGAGGUUUGGUUCUCGAUGCUCCUGUGUUUGGAAAGGGAGAGCGGAGAGCGCAGAGCUGAGUCGGAUCGGGCUCCCUACCCCAACAGGGUGACCUGAUAAAUUGCCACCAGUCAGCUGAACCUCAGUAACGGCCUCUCGGCUCGCAGCUAAAAUUAGCUGAAAUGGCAUGAAGAGAAUUGCUGAAACCUCCACGAAAGUGAUUUAAGCCGAAGCACGUGACCUCGCAUUUGUCACGGGCCGGAGCACGCGCAGGCCUGCUGGCACAGCGCAGGUGAUGUGCGGGAGGGUGUUCAGCCGUGGAGUCUCGAUCCCUAACUCUUAACUCUGGUAGCUGGACUGCAUGCUCUACCUGUGACCUCAUCUCACAUCUCCCUGUUCCCCAGCACUGACUCAGGUUAACCCCUUCUGCUGGGACGCAGCUUAAAGGGUCUUCAGCAGGCGUCAGGUUACAGCUGGAAUGGACUUCAGAGUGCAGGAAGGGUUAAUUUAAGAUUAGGAACAAUGUGUUGGCCAACUGUGCUUAUUUUCCAGUGCAGACGCCAAGACAACCCUGUGCAGUCUGGGCUGAGGUGGAGUGUGCCUACAUGGAGGAUGAUAAAACCAAUAGGGUGGGAAGGUCUAAGCAGGAGGAGAUGUGGUGCCACGUUCCAGACUGUCUUGUCAUUGUUCCUUUCAAAGGUCAUCUGCUUGGUCUUUAAUUUCCGAGACUGGGUGCUAAGGGCUUUGGGGUCACCGUGCCUUCUCUUCCAUGAAUCCAGCUGCCCCAGAGUGGGUGCCUUUCCCAGACUGGCAGCGCAGGCUGCAGCUCCUGUGGUUGCCCACUGUGGAGCAGUUCUACCUUUGCAUGGCUGUUCUGUGUGUGGGAAAGGAUUUCAAGAAACAAUUGACCAAAUGAAACCUCCGUAAUGCUUCUAAAUACUCAAACACAUUAGACAUGCCUGCCCAGCUCAGAGAUAAAUUAGAGCUAUUAUCACUAGAGCCCAGACAAACAAACGGAGGGCUCUCUCCAAACAAGCCAUUCACUCAAGAGACUGGAUUUACAAGGGUCAGGGAAGCAGCAUGAGCUGCAGGCACUUGCUUUCUUUGGAAACCUGUUUAAAUUGGCCAUAUUGACUAGUGCAGAAGGAGGGGAGAGAGCACAGCUCUGCUCUUUGGAAUGUGGGGAGUCACCUCCGUGCAGGGACUGCGGCGCCGUGACGUACUAGCUGGCAUUUUGCUCUCCAUGUCUUCUGUCAAACCUGGAAGUCAGAGACUGAUCCGUUUUGCUUUUCUCCCAUGUGAUGGCUGGGAGAUCAAGGUGUGCAGGAGCACAUCAGGGAUGCCAAGGCCGCUUUGCCUUGCCCUUGGAUUUUUGUGUUUGCUUCCAAGGAGGGAUGGGGAGCCAAGCUGGUGGUAAGGUGGCACUAAGAGAGAGGUCAGUUCAAAUCAGCAUCUUGGGCAUCAAGGAAACUGCCUGAAGGGGUAAAUGGAAGGUAGAGUGUGUAUUUUGGGCUGGAUUUUGCAUGGCAGCUAAAGGAAGGAAGGAGCAGAUGCAGAGACAAAAAAGGAGUAAAGAAAAAGAGAUGAUUAUUCUGCUUCCUGGCUGUGUUGGGCAGCCAGUGCUCUGGUGCAGGGUCUGUAGCACAGCUUUCCACGGUGUCCAGGAGCACCACGCUGGGGCUGAGCGUGACGGAGGCUGGGACUCAGAGCCUGGCUCAGGCAGGGUGUUUGGAGAAGGGCCACAGUCAGAGCAGGGUUUCAGCUCUUGGCUGGGCCCCCUGAGCCAGCCUCCCUGAGACUGGGGGAGCCAGGCUGGGGGGAGAGGCUGGGCUGGGAGACGGGAGUUCUGCAGCAUCAUGACCCCUGCCCACUUGCCUGGCAGCUCAGGCCAGCGGCACCCAUGGAGGCUGUGAGGGUGUUAUUAUCUUCUGAGAGAUGCUCUUGAACACAAAAACUUGAUCCUGAACCAGAGUGUCGCUUUUUGGAAGAUGUCCAGUCUCCAUGCACAACCUCUGACUGAUGUUGAAUUUGCCAUUUCCCUUGGUAACCAGACCUGGUGAUUAACUACCCUCCCUGCUCAAAAUUGUCUUUUAUUUCUCAUGCAAGGUUCUCUCACUCAGUGUUGUCAACUCCUACUAUUUAUUUUGGGUUUUGCUGCUUACUGUGCCUUUUACCUGUAAGCCUAAUGAACAUGCCAAUCUCAGCUAUUUUCACUCUGUGGGUAUCUGGGAUCAAGUCACGACGAAGAUUUUCUUUGACUGCUGAGCAGACAGAGCCCUUUCAGUCUUUUGCAGGGUUGAGCACAGGCAGAGCAGAAGCUGUGCUCGCCACUGCCUUGAGCAUCUCCCAGUGCGUGGGAUUUUAUUUAAAGUCCCAGCCUCUGGACUUGCACCAUUACAAGGACCUUCCACUUUUUAUUUUGCAGAAACCUGAAAACAAUUACUCAAAAGAGAAACAAAAAUCAUUUGCUGAUUUAUUUUUUUUUAAUGCAUCAAGACUUCUGUGAUGUUUUGGUUUAUUGUGAGCAGAAGGGGUGGUGGGUGCUGGCUUGGUGAAUAAUUAGCAAAGCUGAGAACUUGCCAAGGAGACACCGUGGGCCUCAGGGGGUGUCUGCUUCCAUUGUGUGUGGUUCCACAGGCAAGGCAGACACUGACCUGAAAUUCCUACAGCUCUUCUCCCUGCCCAGCACCAGGGUAGGUUUAGUUAAUGUGGGUGGCUCAUAUGGCCUCGACAUCUCUGAAUUUCAAGUGUUCCUCAUCUGAAGGUUUUUCUGCAUUGCUGGGCAGGCUGAAGGGCACAAGUGGCCUCACCAGCAGUGUCAUGCAUGUGGAGGAAGACGGAGUUUAUUUUCCAGCUUCCUUCAAGGGUCAGAGGUCCACUGCGUUGUGUCAACCUCUCUCAGCUGAGCUAACGUGCUUCAGUAAUCCCAAGACUUCAGAUUUUUUCAUCUUGCACUGUGUCUGUCACCCUCCCCAUGUCUCCUGGCACUGCUGGUAUAAAUUAGAAGCAUUUCAAAAUGAAACAGCAAGAUGCCUUGUUUAAAAAUAUUGAAAUCAUGUGUUUCCCCUUCCUUCAUUCCUCUCUUUAUAUUUCUUCCCAGGAAAAAAACCUAUUUGUGGAGCUGGAUAUCCAGAGCAAUAGUAGCUUUGGUGGCUGAACCCCAGGUGGUUUUCUGUUGAUUCAGAAUUUCAGCAAUUCCUACUAAUUGCAAGUCCUGCCCUUGCAGUGAAGCUUUGCCUCACUCACCAUUUCCAGGCUUCAAGAUUUGGGUACUGUUACCUGUCAUUUCUGCUUCUAAAAGGACUCUGGAGACUGGGAGUUUGGGAGCGUUCUUCUAACCCCUGGGGAUUUUGUGCAUAUGUGUUAUCCUUUCCAUAAAAGAAUCAAGCUGGUGGUCAGGCCCUGAAAUGCUUAAGUAUUUAUUUAAAAGUAAAAUAAAAAGAUGGAGCAAAUAGGGGUCGAUGUCUUAAGGGCUGGGAGAAAAAGAGGGAAGAAUGGGUGUGUCCAGGUGUUACACAUCUACAGGUUCAUGUGGUGUCCUACAAGGUGAAGGAAGGUCGGCAGCAUAUGCCUGUGGUUAUUGUGUUUGCUUCUCAGUUAUCAUAUGAGGCCUAAAUUAGGGUGUCAAUAAAAUAUUCCAUGAUGGCCAUGGUUAAGACAGCUGUGCCUUGUGUUUUAUGAAGUGAUUCGAGGAGCAGAGGAAGUAGGUUGUUCCAUCUGGCACACCCUGAUGAACCCUGGAGAGGAUGCUUUGCCCCAGUUUUCAGAGGGAGAUGCUCGAAGACGCCCAACUCUGCUCCUGCCUUGCUACCCGGGCACUAAGGGUCAGAGGAAACACUGGUGGUGACUCAGUUCCUUGGAAAAUUAUCUUGCUUAUUUAUGUGAUGGGGAGGAAGAAGUUUGUGUUUAGAGGUCAGUGAAUUAACGAAUUAGAAAACAAAGACUCAAACCAAUGUUCAUUAUUUUCUGAAAAGCAAAUGCAGUCUUGGCUUUCAUUUACUGCAGAAACAUUUAAGAGGUUUUCCUAGCAGAGAUCAGAGCUCCAGCUAGUGAAACCCUGUAAGGAGGAGUCUGUGCCUCAGGCAGGAGACAGACAGACAGUGCAAGGGAAACAGAAGCAGUGACUGGUAUUUGAGCACGUUUACAGGAGCCAAAAAGCAGAGCUGGGACCGCGGGGCCAGCCCUGGAAACCCCAGGCCAUAGAACCAACCUCCUUCCUCCCACAGCAGUGCUCUUAACAUUGACCAAGACACGAUCGUUCAUGUGUUGCCCCUGGAGUCAGUGGCUGAAAAGCACUUUACGAGGCAGCAGAAACACAAUGGGCUAUUAUUUUUAGGCUAGAGCCAUUCACACAUUUUCUCUGCAAAGCGGGUACCCUCUCUCUUUGUUGUGUUUAGUUGUUUGUGCUGCCUACUAUUCCCUGCCUAUCCAGCAUCUAGCAAAAUGAGAUGCUGAUCUUGUCUGGGGAGGUAAAAUAGUGCAAAUUACCCUCAUCUGGAAACCCUUUGGGUUUGAACCUGAGCGCUGCACUUGUGCUGUAGCUCUGUGUCCAAACCGGUGGAGCUAAUGACCUGAGACUGCAGGGAAGUUUGGACACAGGCUGCAGCUCCUUCUCCCUGUAAUGCUCUCCUCAGUGGAUUAGAAGAAGCUUCCCUGGCAAACUGGGAAGGAGUCCAAGCUGGGGAGCUGGUGUGAUAGGAACUGACAGGGCUGGAAAUUUGAUUUCUGACUCUUUGUGCGUGUAUUUCUUAUGAAAGAAGAAGAGGGAGAGGGAGCCAGGAGUACUUUGAAUCCUGCAAUCAUUAAAACCAAUUCCACUUUUCCUGCCCCUGCCCACCUCCUGAUAUGUGUGUGAAACAAUCUUUACAGCUACACAGCCAUCAGAUGGUAUCGACCCGGCGGUGGAAAUUGCUAUUGACUGCUGCUGGUGCUGCUCUCUGCACUUCCGUGGCUUUUAAAGCGACACUCUUCAGGUGAUUUCACUUUGCACUUGAUACAGCCUGGGAAGCACUGCCUGAAACGGGAUGGGAAGAGCAUGUGUGGGAUUUGUGUAUACAACAAACACCGUCACUCUCCUUUAGUCAGGGGAAGGGUGUUUGAGCAUGUGGGAAGAGAUGCUUCUGCAGAAUCACUCAUCUAAUAGGAAGAUUCAGAAAUUUGAAUUUUUUUUUUCUUUAGUCCAUCAUGAAAUGAUUCUUGUCUCCCACUACAGUUUUUUCCUACUGCAAUUCCAGCACCAAGCCAGGACCAUUCUUCUACCCGUAUGAAGAAUCCAUCCAGUCCUACAUCAGCUGAGGACUAGAUACAUUGAUUUCUUGUUUUAAGGGGCACCUCUUAUUCCAUAUUAUAAAUUCUCUCUCAUCUGCUUUGGGUUCCAAAGAAAAAAAGUCAGGAAGCAAUAAUAUUUGCCUUUGAUGCAAGUGUUUCGUGCAUCUUAAAAACCCUUUUGAUCAUGCAUGAGAACAGGGCUCUGGCUUAGGACUGUAAACAUGCACAUUUUGUUUCCUCCGAGGCAAUUUAAUUGAUGGUAUUUGGUUAUUCCAGUGCUUGGGUUUGGAGUUAAGUGGUGGUGAGGGGAGAUGAUAAAAAAGCUGUGUAAAAGCCAGGGUUAGAGUCUGACCCCAGCCCCACAGAGUAAAUCUAGUGCAAUGCCAUUCUCAUAAUGCUGGUGGUCACUUGGGCUUCUGUGCAGUGAAGGUCCCUGUCCUAUCUGCAGUGAAGACCUGGCAGAUGCUGUCUUCUUCCAGAGCAGGCUGUGAUGGUGAAGUCUCCAAGGGGCUGUUUUCUUCUGGGAUGUUUCUCCAGGGCUGACAGCAGCACUGUGGCCUCCAGUCCACAUGCAGUCCACCUGCCAAGCACUGGCUUCGAGAAGGCUGAACAUGCUUUGGGAAGUGACCCUUGUCUGAUCAAGGAGCAAAGCAGGGAGCACCCUGCAGUGCUCUGACCUGUGCUCCAGACCAGGCGAAGCUCCUGCCUCUCUUUUACCAGCAAGUUGGAGGUGCUGUUAUUAAAAGAAUGGAUGUUGCUCUUUCUCAUAGAGCUCUGCCUUUGUUCCUCUUCCAGACUCGUGCCUUUGACUUCAGCCACAUGGCAGUGCCCAGGAGCAGAGGCUGCCCAGAUGUGUCCAGAGUGUGUGUGCAAGGACUACCCUUUUUUGUUAUCUGGAACAGCGACUGCCUAAAGCUUCUGAGCCAGCCCCUUAGCUCGAAUGCAAACAACCACUGCUAUUAGCUCUGAGCAGUCCCUGACAGCCUUGAUUUCAGGUCACAAGACUGGCAGGCUGCUGAGGUGUCAGGAGACAUGCCUGGUAUUUCCCAUCUCUCCAGCCCAAGCCCUGGGAACUGCUCUGUUGGUUUACACUGAGCCUUGGUGUUCAUGGGGUGAGUCUGACCCUUCUCAGCCUGGCUCUGUCUCAGCUGAAUGGGAAGAAGAAGUGGAAAUAGAAAGGGUUGGAUGCAGAGAGGAUGUCUUGGUGGUAUGGUUUGCAUACCCAGCCCCCAGCACUGGCUGGGAAGGGAGAUGGAGCAGGGCUGGGAGAUGGGGUUAACUGAGAGUCAGCAGACCUGCUGUGGGCAGAGCUGAGGUAGUAAGAAACCUGGCCUAGGGGUGGUUUGAUGUGCCAAACACUGCCCUGCGUGCUUGGGGCAGAGCUCUGAGAAGGUACAGAGCACCUUUGGGUGAGCAUAUGGCCCUUUGCUGCUUUUGUAUCUGCUGCCCACCCCUGGGAUGGUCACAGGUCAGGCAUGUCAGUUGGGGGGGGGGGCUGAUGACUAUAAAAACCCCCUCUUGCCUGUGGCUUCUUUUGCCUCUCCUCUCUUUCCCCUCUGUUUAUGGCAGUGUGCAUCUCCCAGCACACUGCUCCCGUUUCUCUCCUCCCACUCCAUCCCCAUCUGGCUACUGGAGGCCAAACUGCCUGUUCCAUGGGGACAGUAGGGACCUGGGAUGACUUUUUUCCUCCCCACUCCUCCUUGGGCUCUGCCACUGUCUUUCUCUCUGGUCUAAUUCUUGUAUCGCUCCAGAACUAGACUAUCCAACUGGGGAAAGAAUAAUUAUUUGGGAGAAGGGGCUGGAAGCCUGGAACACAGGCGGAGUUUCAGCUCUUUUUUUUGAGGCCAGGGCAAUGUGAGCCAAGUGGGGUCUUUCCAGCCUGGACCUUGAAAUCUGGGCUCCCACUCAGGACUUGUAAAAAUUAGAAAAACUCACUUUACUGUGAGUUAAAUCGGUACUUCUUCAAAUGAGAUUUAUUAAUUUACAUCCUUUGAGGACCUUCCCCAGCAUGAGACUGGGGGAAAAGCAGCAUGUUAGAGUUGCUGGUAGCUUUUUGAGUGUUUUAUGUCCUUUUGUCUUCCCCAUUGUAGGACCACAGCACCCCCAUCUUUUUUCCAGCCCUCUGGCAAAUGUCUUCUGUCCCCAUCCCUUGGACACCUUGACUUUUUGGUUCAUUAAAUAGAGGUGGCAAAGGUUGAAGCUGCUGGUAAAUAGGCCAUUGUGGGAGGCUGAAGGCUCGUUCCAGAGCGAUAUUCAACAGCUCCACCUCUGCCUCAACAGCAUCUUCUUCCAAAGCCCCAAUCCCAGAGAACUUGGCUUUCCCUUCUCAGGGCUGUGGCUUUCCCUCCACAGUUGGUGCUGAGCUGAUGGGGCCAGUGGACCACGCAUGGAAUGUGAGUGUAGGUGGCUUUGAGCUCACUGCGAGAUGCAAACAGUGUUUGCUCUGCAGGCUUCGCUCUGGUUCAGAGAUGGUGACAACCUGUCCUUUCUGGCUUCCCCUUUGAAGAACCGUGCCCAGGGAGGGCAACCUGCUCCCCUAGCCCACCUCCCAGGUCCUCAUGUCCCAUAGUAGUCAGGUGCUGCUGGAAUGUACAUGUGCCCUUAUCAAACAAGCAGCCUUUGAGAGUUUCUCUUUCUUCUGGGCUUAACCUGCCUAAGUCUUUUUGGGGCGAGAUACGAUAUACGACUUGACAGCAAUUCGAGGUGAGAUUUUUUCCUCCUGGGAAAGCGUGGUAAGAAAUUAGGCUUUGCAGGUUUUCUGCCCAGUCGACCAAGGAAAGAAAAGUCCUUGGUGAACUUGGGCUGGGUCUGGGGACAGGAGAGCUGCUGCUGUGAUUUGUGGCUAUUCUCUCUGCAGCACUGCCUCUGUACUCACAAGUGAGAGGCAAGUGGUUUUGACACCUCUUUAUGACCUGGGAGCCACAGGGAAGUGGUGGUGACUUGUGUUCUGGAAAGACAAGGUCAUCGACAAGGGUGGUGCAAGCAUCUUUGAUUUGUCUGACCCUAUAGAAUCCAAGUAUUUUCAAUUCAUAGGAAUUAAAGUGAACAUCAUAGUUUUAGGCUACUGGCUAUUUGAAUCUAGGUGCUUCCCAAGGUGGUGUACAAUACAGGGAUAUUAUGGGGAAAGCUGUUGAUAAGAGCAAUAGUGAAAAUGGAUGUCUGGUUUCAAGCCUAUCUGUCCUACAACCUUCAGGGCCUGCCAGGGGACGUGUUUCCUGGGCUGUGAAAAACCAAUAUGGGACACAAUCAUAUAUCAGUGAUUAUAUCGAUCAUUGUCUCAGACCCAUUCAGUCCAAGGACACCAGCACCUUUUGGAGAGGAAGUGUUGCUUCUGCUCUGGGAGUCUGGGGAGGGUGUUGAAUGCAUGGCAGUGAUGCUGUGCAAGGGGAAGUGACUCCCCUUUAGGGAAUGCUGGGUCCAUACUUGAACCAAUUAGUAGAAUGCAGCUGAGCAAAGUACAGAAGGGAUCAGACUGAUAAUAAGCAAAAUGCUCAAAUAUGGGAAGUUGGGGAAGAAGCCAAAUGAAAAUGAAAUGAAAGGCUAAGGUCCAACUUCAGCAGUUGUGCAGAAAGGAUGGGGCAGCUGAUAAUAGGAAAGCCUGCAGGAACAAUGGGUCAGACCCCUACGCAAGAGACUGAAGGAAUCUGUGAACAAGCCAAGGGGGGGUGGGGGGAUUUUAUCGAAAAGCAUUUCAGCAAAUUAAAGCUGUUGGCUUGCUUACCACCACCAAGACCUAAGUCCCUCACUGUGACCUCAUUGCUCAGUGCUUUGUGGGGAUGGCCAGUUGAGAAGUGCAUGGGUUAGUCAGGUUCUGUCUCAGAGGAGCAGCAAGGGUCUUCUUGGCGGACCCCUGCAUGGGGGGAAUGCUUCCCACCAACUUUACUGCUGUGGAGGGGCCGACAGCAUUUGCUCUAUCCCUUAAUUCAGAGCUGGCGAGAAUUGUCUUUGGGGAUAACCUUAAACCCCUCUUUUAUGAAGGUGAAAUCAGAAACCCAUAGCUGAGCCUCUUCCUUGGCAGUGUUUCUUAGUCUUGGAAAUACAUAGAAGACUCAAGAGACGAAAACCAACUUUUCUGACUGCAGACGAACUCCAUAAAGACCACUUGAAGGUAGAUGAUGUGAUGAAAAACAUCCCAAAAACUGCAAGUCUGCAUCUAAGAAAAUUAUUUUCUUACAAAGACGGUGAUUCUAGAUCCCUCUAGUUCACAUGAGGCAGCGGGGAUUCCUUUCACAGACACGUUGAUUAAGGUAGGCAUUACAUGAUCACCUUUGGGUGAGAACCUCGGCUCUUGCUAGUGGAAGUAAGGCUCCUCUUUUUCUUGCCUCUCCAUAUCCCCAUGUGUACAAAAAGAAUAGGAAUAUACCUUCUUGGUAAAUCAUCUGAAAAUGGACUUGCUACGAAAGACAGCCCAUCCUGCUAGCGGCGAAGAGGUCCCAUUUGGAGGCUUGACUUGUGAGAUCUCAUGGAGAAUCUAUGGAAUACAGUCAUGAGUUCGUACCUCUAAUGUGGCUUUCUCUUUAUAAAAGUACUGCACGGAAUGUGAGACUCACUAGAUAAAAGUGAAUUUAACAGCUAUUUUGUAUCCUUUGAGGAACAUCAGUGCUGGUUGAAAGAGGGGAAAAAAACCUUUUUGUUGAGUCUGGAAUGGACCUGCUUUUAUUGAAGGACUCUACAACUGCUUUUGUUGCUAUUUCCGCUGAUAGCUUUUACCUGACUUGUUUUCAAAAUCCUUGUUGAAUUUUUUUUUUCUGUCUGCAAAAAACUGCAUUUCCUUGCUGAAAUUCAAGUUUGGGGUCUGGAAAAACGUCCUAAAUGAUUUUGCAGAUGGCUUGUUCUGAUGUAGAAGUCCCAGAAAUAGGGCAUUCUGUAAGGGAAGUCACCUGUUUAUUUCCAGGAGGGUAGACAAUUUAUUUUAAACAAUGCCAUUUUCUUUUCAAUUAUAGACGCUUUUGUGGAAAAAAAUUCCAGCAGUCUCUAAGAAAGAGCACGUGAUCACAAUUAAAGGAUGUGCUGUGCUGUAUCAGAAGGUAGCAUUUAAACCAGGGAAAGCCUGAAUAUUGGCUAUAACUCAUUGUAAUUAUACCAUCUAUUUCAAACAUGUAAAUAUGUUUGGUAGCACUUACAUGUUUAUGUCAGCUAUUGGGAAAAGACGUUUUUCUUUUUGGUAAACUUCUGAUGGUAAGAAUUUUGUUCCUUGCAUUUGAAUAAAUAACAAACAAGCUUA